UCCAUGCAAAAGUUAAUAUCAGAUCAUUUUAGAAUACAGUAUAGGAUGUACCGAAUAUUCUUCAGUUUUAUGCAAAACAGAAAUACGACAAAUAUAAUAUCAGAUCUCUGUCAUAUGGCCA